rnacentral:snoRNA from 1 species
CUCAAGACUAGAGUCACCUCCUAACACAUCUCUUGUCCUAUUAUGCUAGAAUCCUCGAACAGAAUUGCUGAUCUUGAUUCACUGGUAAAGGUGGAGGGUCUGGUGAUCAAUGCUCCUGUUAGUGCCCUGAUAAAAUCAUGU